rnacentral:rRNA from 1 species
AAUCAAGCUUUAAAGGGCACAGAGUGGAUGCCUUGGUGCCAACAGGCGAUGAAGGACGUGAUAAGCUGCGAUAAGCUUCGGGGAGCCGCAAAUUGGCGAUGAUCCGGAGAUUUCCGAAUGGGGUAACCUGACGGGGUUAGAGCCUCGUCGUCUCUUCCUGAAUGAAAUAGGGAAGAGUUCGCGAUACCCGGUGAAGUGAAACAUCUCAGUAACCGGAGGAAAAGAAAUCAACCGAGAUUCCGUAAGUAGUGGCGAGCGAACGCGGAGCAGCCCAACCAAUAGUGACCAGUAAGGAUAGUGUAAGUGUUUGGAACGACACGGCAAAGAGGGUGAGACUCCCGUGCGCGAAAUCUGAGCUGGCUAGGUGCAAGUAACACACCACACGUGGAACGGUGUGUGAAGAUGGGGGGACCACCCUCCAAGGCUAAAUACUCGUUGGCGACCGAUAGUGAACCAGUACCGUGAGGGAAAGGUGAAAAGAACCGCUGUGAGCGGAGUGAAAUAGAACCUGAAACCCUGUGCCUACAAGGUGUAGGAGCAGCUUUGGCUGUGACUGCGUGCCUUUUGCUUAAUGAGUCUGCGAGUUGGUAUCUGUGGCGAGCCUAAGUCUUUUUGGGACGGAGGCGAAGCGAAAGCGAGUCCGAAUAGGGCGAAUGAGUUGCAGGUGCCGGACCCGAAGCGGAGGUGAUCUACCCUUGGCCAGGUUGAAGCGUCGGUAAUACGACGUGAAGGACCGAACCGGUGAAUGUUGAAAAAUUCUCGGAUGAGCUGAGGGUAGGAGUGAAAGGCUAUUCAAACCCCGUGAUAGCUGGUUCUCCUCGAAAUGCAUUGAGGUGCAGCGUCGCGUGCUGACCAUUGGGGGUAGAGCACUGAAAAGGCUAGGGCCCAUACCCGGGUACCAAACCUUAUCAAACUCCGAAUACCAGUGGGUGGAGCGCGGCAGUGAGACGGUGGGGGAUAAGCUUCAUCGUCAAAAGGGAAACAACCCUGAUCAGCAGCUAAGGUGCCUAAACCAUGCUAAGUGGAAAGGAUGUGGAGUUUCACAGACAGUGAGGAUGUUGGCUUAGAAGCAGCCACCAUUUAAAAAAUGCGUAAUAGCUUACUCAUCGAGAGACUCUGCGCCGAAAAUGAUUGGCGAUUAAGCAUGGUACCGAAGCUCUGGGCUUUGCGUAAGCGGAGCGGUAGAGGAGCAUUCUCAACGCAUAGAAGCUGGAUGGCGACUGAAAGUGGAGUGUUGAGAAGAGAGGAUGCAGACAUGAGUAACGAUAAGACCGGUGAAAUCCCGGUCCGCCGUAAACCCAAGGUUUCCAGGGCUACGUUUUUCGUCCCUGGGUUAGUCGGGACCUAAGCCGAGGCGGAUACGCGUAGGCGAUGGACAGCAGGUUAAUAUUCCUGCACUUGCGACCCUUAAACAGGGGGGACGCAUGAUGGAUUGCAAUUAGGUGAAUGAAUUCCGAGGUGAGGCUACGGCUGAUCCGCAUUGCAAGAGAUUGUGCCAAGAAAAGCCCCUGCGUAUGCUAAGCGACCCGUACCGUAAACCGACACAGGUGGGUGGGAUGAGUAUUCCAAGGCGCAAGAGUGAACCCUGGUUAAGGAACUCGGCAAAUUAGCCCCGUAACUUCGGAAGAAGGGGUGCCCCCUUAGGGGGGCCGCAGUGACCAGGCCCAACCGACUGUUUAGCAAAAACACAGCAUUCUGCCAAGACGCUAAGUCCAAGUAUAGGAUGUGACACGUGACCAAUGCGGAAAGAUUAAGAUGAGAUGUUAGCUUUCGGGCGAAGCUUCGAGUCCAAGUCCCCGUGAAUGUCGGCCGUAACUAUAACGGUCCUAAGGUAGCGAAAUUCCUUGUCGGGUAAGUUCCGACCUGCACGAAUCGUGUAACGAGUUGGGCGCUGUCUCAACCAGGUGCUCAGUGAAAUUGUAAUGGCGGUGAAGAUGCCGCCUACCCGCAGAAGGACGGAAAGACCCUAUAGACCUUAACUGUAAGCUGUCAUUGGUUCUUCGAUUCUCAUGCUCAGCAUAAGUGGGAGACGUUGAAGAGGCCCUUUAGGGGGUUUCGGAGUCGCCAGUGAGAUACCACCCUUGGGUGUUGGGGAAUCUAACCACGGUCCGUGAAACCGGACGUGGAACAGUGUCAGCCGGUCAGUUUUACUGGGGCGGUAUCCUCCCAAAGAGUAACGGAGGAGCGCGAAGGUGGGUUCAGCACGGUUUGCAACCGUGUGUCGAGUGCAUGGGCAUAAACCCGCCUAACUGCGAGGCCUACAAGCCGAGCAGAGACGAAAGUCGGCCCAAGUGAUCCGGCGGUAGAAUGUGGAAUUGCCGUCGCUCAACGGAUAAAAGGUACCUUAGGGAUAACAGGCUGAUUUCGCCCAAGAGUUCAUAUCGACGGCGAAGUUUGGCACCUCGAUGUCGGCUCGUCGCAUCCUGGGGCUGGAGAAGGUCCCAAGGGUCCGGCUGUUCGCCGGUUAAAGCGGCACGCGAGCUGGGUUCAGAACGUCGCGAGACAGUUCGGUCCUCUAUCCUCUGUGGGCGCAGGAAAACUGAGGGGUUCAAUUCCUAGUACGAGAGGACCGGGAUUGACGCACCUCUGGUGCACCGGUUGUCGUGUCAACGGCAUGGCCGGGUAGCUAAGUGCGGGCCUGAUAAGCGCUGAAAGCAUCUAAGCGCCAAGCAGUUCCCAAGAUGAGUUUUCCCUGAAGGAUCGUGGAAGACGACCACGUUGAUAGGGUGUAGGUCGAAGUCUGGUAACAGAUGUAGCCGAGCACUACUAAUCAUCCGUAUGGCUUGAUUCC